rnacentral:lncRNA from 1 species
GUUUUUGGUAAUCAAUUGGGGAUUCGAGAUCCUAAUGAUUCUAUUUCAAUUUAUUUCUAUACAUUAACUUCCAAAAUUGCAUAUUUACAUUUUAAUUGAGUUGUUGAGUCAUUUAAUUAGGGGAAUUUCGAAAUUAGGGUUUUCUUCAAAAUUAGGGUUUCAAAUUGGUGGUUUCUUCCAAAAUUAGGGUUUUUCACACUUAGACCAAAUUUUCAUUCAAUUGGAUUCGGUUAUAGUCACAUUAGUUUAAUUAGAGUUAAUUCAAUCCUUGUGGGAAUGAUACUUGGACUCAUAGUCCAUUUUACUACUUGCUAACGAACCGUACACUUGCGGUGGGAUUUUAAAAUUGAAAGAAACAUUUCGCGAACAAGUACCUUCUGAGGUACCCUAUGUCUAGAUCAAGACAUUUUCUCUUUGUAUCGUGGACUAAAACACGUAGGACACUAAGUCAUGCUCUCGGUUUCUUUGUAGUACAACAUGCAAUCAUUCACACAAGCAUGGAUUUUCAUAACACCAAGGCCAAGACUGGAUAACAUUUUCUUUGUUUUAUAGAACGUAGCUUCUAGGCGGUCACCUUCUGGCAUAAUUUACUUAAUUAUAGACAGCAUACGAUCAUAACAUGAUGCCAGCAUAUUAAACUCAGACUUCAGAUUCAAGAAUCGUGCCAUUUUAGAAAGGUUUGUGUGCCUACUACAACCAGGCCACACAAGUUUGUUAGCUCCUUCCAAUAGUGUAAAGAAAUUUGCGGCAUGUUGAUUUGAGGUUUGUUCCUCAUGACCACAAGCAUUAUGAUUGAUGUAAUCAUGGUACAUUUCAGGGCCCACUGCAUCUACCACCAUUGCUUCAUGGCUCUCAAUGGUUGUAGCUUGUGCAGUUGAGGAUUCAACCAAAUUUGGACCAUUGAAACUGAAUGGUUCUCCAUGCGCGUUCCACUGUGUAUAGCCCCUUGUAAAUCCAUUUUUGUAAAGAUGAAAUUUCACAUCAUCUCCUCUGAGAAACCUUGUGUUUUUACAUAUAGAACAUGGACAUUUGAUCAUAUCUCCAUCUCUUGUUUGAGACAUGGCAAAUUCAAUGAACUCUUCAACACCUUAAUGAAUUUAUCAGAAAGAAAUCCAUCAUCUACCCUAUUCAGCAUCCAACUGCGAUCCGAUUCCAUAAUGUUCAACAACAAUUCAUAGAAUUAUAAUUGCAUAUUUUUCAUGAAUUAUUACAUGAUUCGAGUAUUAAACCUGCAAAAUGAAUCCAAUUAACUCCCUUUCUAGAAAUAAACGAUUGAAAUCAGUUUCAUUUAUUUAAUCAUUUAGACAACUAAACAAGCAGUUUAGCAACAAACACAAUUCAAAUUAAAAGUCAACUAUUUCAAUUCACAGUUUCCAUUAAUAAGCAAUGAUCAAUCAAAAUUACAUUCUUAAUUGACGAUUACAUAUUUAACAACUUUCUAAGAAAUCAAAUUAACACUUUCCAAUCAAGAAUCUCAAUUAUUUGAAUCCUCAAUAGUUCAGCAUAAAAACAGCAACAAUUGAUUCCAAAUUGUACAAAGAAAUGGAUCACCUAAAUGUAUAUAUCGUUAGCAUAAAAACUUGAUUCACUUGCACAAGUAAAUAGCAUAACAGAACUUAGUAAAUCUGGAACUAAACUAGUAAAAUUUUGUCACGGCUUAAGCUCAAACCCAAGCUUCACCUGUAACCCCUCUCAAUCGUAGCUCAAGGACGAAGUGAAAUUUGCUGGGUUAGUUGCUAUGUUUCCACAAAUUAAAGACAAAAUAGAAUGGGGAAGGGAUUAAAUGGAAAAAAAAAAAGAAAUUGGAGAGAAAUUCUGUUGAAAAUGUAAGACUU